GGCCGACGAAGAUGAGGAUCCGAAGAUUUCCUCAAAUCCCACCCGCUUCCCGCAUACCCCUGCUGACAUAUUGAACUUAAACCCUGGGGUUUUGUUAUUAUUCUUAUAGUAGCCCAAAAAUCUCAACCAACAAUCCACCAAAAAAGGGGAAAAAUAAUUAAGAAAAAAAAACUGGGAUCUAAAUAUGGAAUCCAGAAAUUCAAUCAAAU
rnacentral:misc_RNA from 1 species